rnacentral:ncRNA from 2 species
AUAGUGGGACCACUCCACGGUUCUCCGGCUUCGGCCGGAGGUGAAAAAGGGAAUCCGGUGAGACUCCGGAGCUGCCCCGCAGCGGUAUGCAGGUACGAACGCCGAAGAAGACACUGGCCGAAGAAAUGGCUGGGAAGUACGGCAAGUAGGGUUGAGCCUGCAGAGUCCGAAGACCUGCCUUGGAGAUAUUCGCUAG